UGUGCUAAUACCGCAUAAUCUCUGAGGAGAAAAGUAGGGGAUCGCAAGACCUUGCGCUUUUGGAGCGGCCGAUGUCUGAUUAGCUUGUUGGUGAGGUAAAGGCUUACCAAGGCUUCGAUCAGUAGCUGGUCUGAGAGGACGGCCAGCCACACUGGGACUGAGACACGGCCCAGACUCCUACGGGAGGCAGCAGUGGGGAAUUUUGGACAAUGGGGGCAACCCUGAUCCAGCCAUGCCGCGUGAGUGAAGAAGGCCUUCGGGUUGUAAAGCUCUUUCAGCCGGAACGAAACGGUUACGAUUAAUACCCGUAACUACUGACGGUACCGGAAGAAGAAGCACCGGCUAACUACGUGCCAGCAGCCGCGGUAAUACGUAGGGUGCGAGCGUUAAUCGGAAUUACUGGGCGUAAAGCGUGCGCAGGUGGUUUUGUAAGUCAGAUGUGAAAUCCCCGGGCUUAACCUGGGAACUGCGUUUGAAACUACAAGGCUAGAGUGUGGCAGAGGGGGGUGGAAUUCCGCGUGUAGCAGUGAAAUGCGUAGAGAUGUGGAGGAACACCGAUGGCGAAGGCAGCCCCCUGGGUCAACACUGACGCUCAGGCACGAAAGCAUGGGGAGCAAACAGGAUUAGAUACCCUGGUAGUCCAUGCCCUAAACGAUGUCAACUAGUUGUCGGGUCUUAACGGGCUUGGUAACGUAGCUAACGCGUGAAGUUGACCGCCUGGGGAGUACGAUCGCAAGAUUAAAACUCAAAGGAAUUGACGGGGACCCGCACAAGCGGUGGAUUAUGUGGAUUAAUUCGAUGCAACGCGAAAAACCUUACCUACCCUUGACAUGUAUUGGAGCCCGCAGAGAUGUGGGUGUGCCCGAAAGGGAACGAUAACACAGGUGCUGCAUGGCUGUCGUCAGCACGUGUCGUGAGAUGUUGGGUUAAGUCCCGCAACGAGCGCAACCCUUGUCAUUAAUUGCCAUCAUUUAGUUGGGCACUUUAAUGAGACUGCCGGUGACAAACCGGAGGAAGGUGGGGAUGACGUCAAGUCCUCAUGGCCCUUAUGGGUAGGGCUUCACACGUAAUACAAUGGCGCGUACAGAGGGUUGCCAACCCGCAAGGGNNNGCUAAUCUCAG
rnacentral:rRNA from 1 species